rnacentral:lncRNA from 1 species
UGGGAGAGUCCUAAGCAAACUGGGAUGGUUGGUCACCCUAGAAUGUGGUCUUUUUUGGGAAGGCACAUGAAGGAGCCUUUUGAGGGGCCAGAAAUGUUCAGUAUCUUGAUAUGGAUGGUGGCCACGAGUAAAUACACGAGUGAAAAUUUAUCCAGCUAUGCACUUAAGAUAUAUGUGUUUAUGUAUGCAGUUUAUACUUUAAUUGAAAAUCUUUAAAAAUAGCUAUAUGUUACAAAGCACAGAGUAUGAAGAAAGCAAAGACAAUAGGGCCAUUAGAAUUUUGGUGGAUAACAAAAUGAAGGCCCGAUUUUCAUUUCUAAUGUUUGCUUGUUUUCUCUUUCAGGUGUUGGGACUUUGAUGGGAAAAAGGUGAAGCAAAAUGUGGUAAACAGGAAUGAAAAGCCAGAAUGAAUAAAGGAAGCCUUCAUUGUUCUGAGUGAGUUCCCCAGCCUGAGAGAUUCACAGAGACCUGGCAAAUGAUAUUGCUGAACCAUGGGCAGUGAAUGCAGAGAACAGAAAAGGGCAUACACCUUUGGAUCUCUGAGCCAUCAUGUAAGAAGUUCAGCUACCCUGAAGCCACCAUGUUGGAUUUGCCACUUAGAGACAGAGAUAUUUGAGGAACCCCAACUGUUCUGGGCUCCAGCUGUUUGAGUCUUUCCAGUCCAGGACUUUGAAAAUGUCAACCUACUCCCUCCUGACCUGUAUGGUUUCCAUUGAGAAUACCAAAUGAAUUGGAGCUCCUUUAGGUUAUUUGCUAAUUUUCUCUUGCUGCUUUUAGGAUCUUCUCUUUAUCGUUGUCCUUUGAGAGUUUGAUUAUAUCUUUUGAGGUAGUCUUAUUUGGAUCAUACCAAAAAUCAGUAGCAUUUCUAUAUGCCAACAGUGAAUAAUCUGAAAAAAAAAUAAAAGGGUAAUCCCAUUUAUAAUAACCAUGAAUAAAACUAAAUACCUUGGAAAUAAACUUAACCAAAGAAGUGAAAGAUCUUUCUAUAAUGAAAUCUAUAAAAAACUGAUGAAAGAAAUUGAGGAGGACACCAAACAUGGAAAAAUAUUCCAUGUUCAUGGAUUAGAAGAUUCAAUAUUGUUAAAAUGUUCGUACUACCCAAAGCAAUCUACAGAUUCAAUGUAAUCCCUAUCAAAAUACCAAUGUCAUUCUUCACAGAAAUGGAAAAAACAAUCCUAAAAUUUAUGUAGAACCACAAAAGAACCAGAAUAGCUAAAGCUGUCCUAAGCAAAAGGAACAAAACUGGAGGUAUCACAUUACCUGACUUCAAAUUAUACUACAGAACUAUAGUAACCUAAACAACAUGGUACUGGCAUAACAAACACAUAGACCAAUGGAACAGAAUAGAGAACCCAGAAACAAACCAAGACAUCUAGAGUGAACUCAUUUUCAACGAAUGUGCCAAGAACCUACACUGGGGAAAUACAGUCUCGUCAAUAAAUGGUACUGGGAAACCUGAAUAUACAUAUGUGGAAGAAUGUAACUAGACCCUUAUCUCUUUCCAUAUACAAAAAUCAAAUCAAAAUGAAUUAAAGAUUUAAAUAUAAGACCUCAUACUAUGAAACAACUGUAAGAAAACAUUGGAGAAACUCUCUAGGACAUUUGUCUGGGCAACAAUUUAUCGAGUAAUAUCACAUAAGAACAGGCAACCAAAGCAAAAAUGGACAAAUGGAAUCACAUAAAUUUAAAAAGCUUCUGUGCAGCAAAGGAAACAACAAAGUGAAAAGAUAACCCACAGAAUAGGAGAAAAUAUUUGCAAACUACUCAUCUGACAAGGUAUUAAUAACCAGAAUAUUUAAGGAACUCAAACAACUCUAUAAGAAAAAACUAAUAAUCCAGUUAAAAAUGGGCAGAAGAUUUGAACAGACAUUUCUCAAAAGAAGAUACACAAAUGACAAACAGGCAUAUGAAACAGUGCUCAACAUCAUUGAUCAUCACAGAAAUGCAAAUCAAAACUGCAAUGAGAUGUCAUCUCACCCCAGUUAAAAUAGCUUAUAUCCAAAAGAUAGGCAACAGCAAAUGCUGGCAAGGACGUGGAAAAAAGGAAACCCUCAUACACCGUUGGUAGGAAUGUAAAUUAGUACAACCACUGUGGAAAACAGUUUGGAGGUUUCUCGAAAAACUGUAAAUUGAGCUACCAUACAGUUUAGCAAUCCCAUUCCUAGUAUAUACCCAAAGAAAGGAAAUCAGGAUAUUGAAGAGGUAUCUGCACCUCCAUGUUUAUUGCAGCCCUAUUCACAAUAGCCAAGAUUUGGAAGCAACCUAAGUGUUCAUCAAGAGAUGAAUAAAUAAAGAAAAUAUGAUACUUACACAGAAUGGAGUACUAUUCAGCCAUAAAAAGAAUGAGAUCCUGUAAUUUGCGACAACAUGGAUGGGACUGGAGGUCACUAUGCUAAGUGAAUUGAGCCAGGCACAGAAAGACAAACAUCACAUGUUCUCACUUAUUUGUGGGAGCUAUAAAUCAAAGCAAUUGAACUAAUGGAGACAGAGAGUAGAAUGAUGGUUACCAGAGGCUGGGAAGGAUAGUGGGUGAGUUGGGGAGGUGGGGAUGGUUAAUAGGUAACAAAAAAAUUAGUUCAAAAGAAUGAAUAAGAUCUAGUAUUUGGUAUCACAACAGGGUAAAUAUAGUCAAUAAUAAUUUAGCUGUACAUUUUAAAAUAACUAAAAGAGUAUAAUUGGAUUGUUUGUAAUACAAAGGAUAAAUAUUGAGGGAUGGAUAUCAUAUUUCCCGUGAUAUGAUUAUUACGCAUUGCAUGCCUGUAUCAAAACAGCUCAUGUACCCCUUAAAUAAAUAUACCUACUAUGUACCCAGAAACAUUAAAAAUAAGAGGUUUUUUAAAAAAUAAAAAUAAAUAACAGUCACAUUACCGGGGCCCAAAUGAAUGAAAUUUUCAAAAUAGUAUUUUCAAAUCAAAAUGCAAAUAGGCUAAUUUCCUAGAUCCAAGUGCAUGCAUUUUUUUCUUCCUCUUUAUUAUACAUCUGCUUUUUCUUAAAUUUUAGCUUUUAAAGGUUCAUUUGACUGUCAGGCUCUAUUUUAUUACAGGCUCUUAUAAAUGGUUUCCUCACUGUUCUAAGAACAGGUUAUUUCUCCUGCAUUAUUCUCUGUGGGAACAGUUUCCUGCAGUUUGCUGAGAAUUGCUGUUUAGUUGAUGACAUUUUCACUUCUGCCUGGGUCUUGCUUCACAGUACCAAGCUGAAAAUUACCUCUCAACUUAAAGUCAUCGGUUUAAGAAUUUGAUAUUUCCAGAAAAACCAUUCCCAAUACCCACUCUCUCCUUCCUCUUUUCACCCAGGUCCCCUUUCUGCAUUUCUACUUUGUGGAUUAGAGCCUGACAGUUACAACAGACUUUGGAGUUUAAACUUUGUAUCACAAUUUGGUGUUCUUUUGAUUACAUGUUUAAGGUUCUUCUGCCUUUCCAUAAAGCUAGGAUUUUACACUCCCUCUCGGGAAUACCCUUUUAUUUUAGUCUUUGUUAAAUGAGAUUAUACCAAAGUUAUGUGCUUAAUAUAGCUGUUCAUCAAUAUAAUAUGAAUGUCAGGUAAAAUCCUAAAUGUAAGAAAAUAUAGCUUCAGUAACUAUAUCAGUCAAAAUCUAGUCAAGAAAAAGAAAUUCCACCAAGUAGUUUAAUUGAAGGCAUUUAAUAGUGGUGAUUAAAUGGCAAAAGUGUUAGAAGAGCCUGAAGAGCAAAUUAAAGAAGCACCCCUAGGGCUGAAGGCACUAUGAAAAAGAUAAUGUUAACAGAACACAGGAGCCAAGGCCACCUCGAGGGGACAGAAUCAUGACAGGAGCCUCCCAGCAAAAGCUGGGGCCAUGGAGGGACACAAUCACCAAUUAUUGCGAGGGAUACCACCUAAAGAAGGAUUGGGGGAUAGGCGGGAGAUUGAGCUGGCAAGCAUGAAUGAGCAUGGGAGAAAUACAUUGGUUUCCCCCUCUUUUAUCUCUAGUCUUUUACCAGGGCCUCCCACUAAUUGAAUCUAACCAGAAGCCUGGGCAGUAUAAUUUGCACCCUUCAAACCACCAUGAUACAGAGCAAAGCAAGGGAAAAAUGGGGAGUGGAUUGGAAAAACAAAUACACAGUAAUGGUAAUCACUUUGUUGAGCCUACUCCAGCCAUAGAGGUUAUUAGCAAAGGUGAAGAAGUGGGUGUUUGACAGAUAAGAGAUGUCUUGGGUAGGAGAGCUGCAUUCUUUGUAGAAUCAAGUACUUACAUGCUGUUCACUAUGGAUGGGACAGGAAACAGAAUGAACAACCCUUGCACUUAGAAAGCUAAUAGCCUAGCAGGAGAGUCAGGCCAUUAAAAUCUAUAAUAAACUUAUAUAUAUAUACACAAAAUAAUGUAUAUUAUAUAUUACUUAUAUUAGACUACUAUAUAGGUAUAGUAAUGUAUAAUAUAAAAUAUUUAUUAUGUAUUUAUAAUAGAUAAGGCACUAUGGGAACAUAUAGUUGGGAGACCUAAUCUCCUGGGACAAUCAGAAGGUUUCCUGGAGGAAAUAAUUAAGAAUGAGUGGGAGAUGGAAGCAGAAAAUGAAAAGUACAAGAAAGGGAGGAGAUGAAUUCAGACCAAGGAACAGCAUGCACAUUGUGGCUUGAAGUGGGAAGAGAGGAAAUGCUGAGACAGAACAAUGGCUGUGGGGAGAAGCAGGGGAUGUUGCUGGAAUUGGAACUGGGGAGGAAGGCUAGAUGAUGUCACAAAGGGCUUUGUGGGCUGUGUUGGAGUUUAGACCUUAUGCUAAAGGAGAUAGGAUGUUGCUGAAAGGUUUGAACUAGGGAAAUAACAAUCAGAUUUAUGGUUUAGAAAGGUCGUUCCAGACUGGUGGUUGGGAGAGCAGUCUGCUGAACACUGACACAGUACCUGGAGAUACACAGAUGGAUAUGGUGGUACCCAAGAGUGCCCACACUCUAGUGUGGGAAAAACUACAUUAAAAAUUGUCCCAUGAUGUCAUGUGAAGGAGGUAACAAUGGAGGUUUGACCAUAAUUCUAUGAAAAGACACAGGGAGAAGCUUGUAGUUAUUCCUGCUGAGUGGCUGGGUGGGUGGGUAGAAGGUUUCUUAAACUAUAUGCCUUGCAAAAUUAGUCAGAUUAAUCAACCAAUUGUAAUGUUGAUGGAAGUGGGACGGGUAGGGUUGUGGGAUUCUCACAGAAGAAACAUCAUGGAUAAAGGUAUGGAAAUGUGAAGAUGCAGGGUCUGUUCAGAGGAGAGUAAAACCGGGGUCUCCUAAAACCCUGGCACAACUGGAAAGACUUGGGAUAUUUCUUGGGUGAGAAGGUUUCUGGUAUUGAAUUUCCACUUUCUUUUUCAUGAGUCAGACAGGCAGAGCAUUUGGCUGGUAGGACAAGGGCUUUGUUAGUGGGGUUGGGGGGUCUGGGGUGCAGUAGAGUGCUUAGUUGGUCCAGGGGUUUGAUGCCACGAAGCUUGCCCACAUCCAUCUGGGGAGCUGAAUCAUGGCUUACAUUUCUGGUUGAUCCACUGGAAGUAGAAUAUUGCUAAGGGACACUCAGAGGACUUUAAGCAGGGUCUCAGAUCUCUGCGCUUUCUGGUGGAACCCAGUAAUUCAGAUAAUGUGGCUUCUGAGAAUUGUUCCCAAAAUGGGAGAAAAUAGCUUAUGGUAAACACGAACAAAUCAAUGACUUCCAUGCUGUGGUUAUGGUUAAAAGAUUUUUAAUAUUUUUUUGUUAGGAGGAACCAUCAUAUGUAAAAAGGAGUUCAUUGUAUCUGCUCAAACCCAUGUCACUGUCCUAUAGUCUGAAUUUUUGCUGUGAACACUAAAGAAAACAUUUAGCAAAUUGAAGUCAACCAUGCAAUGCAGCAAAAAUUCUAAUAAUGCUUUGCAUCUCUUCCCCAACUCAGAGGCACUGAGAGAAACAGAAUGUGCCUCAAGAUGGAGCCCUUGAACCACAAAGUUUAGAAGCAAAUUCAGUGACUUUGUAAACUUGCCAGGCACAGGCAAAGUUGCAGCUGCUGGUCAAAGCUGGUGGCAUUUCUCAUGUAGAAAUCAGAAGGUGUGGGAAAGCGGUAUCCCCUAUCCCCUAAAGCUUUCACGAGGGCCAGGCAAACCUGAGGGGCAGGCUGGUAUGGCAGUUUUCAGACUUGGGCUCCAACAGCUCACAGGGUUAUAAAGUUAAAUCAACAGGAUAAAUAAUUUUACUUGUAUUAAUAAAUAUACUUAUUUCUCUAACAAAGUACAUAUUUCCCUCUUCUUAAGCCCAUCUCAAAUGGUAAAAUCACUACUUGAAAUUUUAAUAAUCCUCUGUGAUCCCUAGUAGGUUCUUACUGGUAUAUAAGUACUUUCCUUAGACAUGAGGGAAUGACACACAAAGGAAGCAUCAAGUAGGAGGCUACUGCAAUACCCAAGUAAAUGGGAUGCUCCUCACAGCAGGGCAGUUUCCCUGCUGCCUAGAGAGGAAGGUGGCUCAAUGCAGGAAGAAGAGCUAGGGCCUCAGCAUCUGCCAUGUCUAGGCUAGAGUCUGUCUCUGUCCUUUCCUAGCUAUGUACUCUCAGGCUGGCUUCUCAACCUAAUGAUAACACUUCCAGAUCUUAAGGAUUGAAGAUAAUGCAUUAAAGUGCCUGAGGCUUGUGCCUAUGAAUAAAGUGCCUACUACUGGUUACUGUUGGAGCAGCCAUGUCUACAUGUUCAAGCUGUGCACUGAACAAGACAUCACAUGUAUGGAGGUGCCAUUCACACUUUAGACAUAUGAUGUAUAUCAAUGCAGGUGAGCCCCAGAGCAACACCCUUUACAUCGACCCACACUGGUCCAUGCAGCCAUGUGCUUAUGGGGCAAGCAUGUGGACAGGCAUGAACUAUUGCACAUGUUUGCAAAGCUGUUACCUGCCCUGACUAUACCUAUUCUUUCGCCCCUCCCACCUGCAGACCCAAAUAGAAAUCUGAUACAGUCACCCCUCCCACUUUGGCAGGGAAGGUUCAGUAAAUAGGCUGUUAUUACCAGGAGCCUGCAUGACUCAAGCAAGCAGGUAAGCAGGGGUUCUUGGAUAACAGCUCAGGCUGUGCAGCGUCUUUGCCUGGUUCCUCACAAGCCUUUCAUGCUCUAGCCAAUGGCUUAGGAAUGAUCCAUGGAACUGCCUUUGGGGAGUUUUCAGCUGGAUGGUAGCAAUCUUCCCAGCAUUAACCCCAUCCCCACCCUUCCCACUCUUCUACAAGUGGACCAUCGGCCACAUAAAGGGCCAUAUGCCACACUUUUUCUGGCCCAGCUGUGUAAGCUUGUCCACCUUAGCUACUGCUAAGUGACAUCAGGGUCUAUCACAUUAUCGAUAGCACAGACUUUUGUUUGCUGAUAUCCUAUUAAUUAAUUACACUUAGUAGUGCUUUGUACAAUUUUUAGAUAUUGUUAUCCUUGUGUUCUUUCUACUUCUCAUCUUCUUUCAUUUUUUCCUUUUUUCCCCUAAUAAUCCUCUUUGCCUUUUUUCUUUCUUACUGAGGUUAUGUCUUUCUUAUAACUUUGUCCUUCCCCAUCUUCUCUUCAUUCCUCAUGUCAGUUUUCUCUUCUCAGUCCAUAGCUCUUCUCUUCUCCAUGUUUCUUCUUCUUUCUUGUUCAAUUCCUUCCCCUCUCUCUAUGCUUUCCUUCCCACUCAGUUUUUUCUUUCAUUCAGUUUUAUUUCCUCCUCCACCCUCACAAGCACCUUCUCGAUUUUUCCCUCCCUUAUUCAAUAGCUUAGUUUCUCCCAGGGAUACUGGCGUUAAAGAGUUCUGGUAGAUGGAAAGUCACAAAGGUGGGGGCGCUAGGUGCCCAUUUGGUCCAAGCCAGGUCCUGCAAAUGUCCAUUUCACUUCAAAUCCUUAAAACAAAGACUAAUGGAAUCCAGAGAAGUGGCCAUCAUGGAUCUAGUCUAUAGAAAAUGUGUAAAUUCCCUGUAGCACUGGAGCUGAGAAUUUAGACCUAGCCCAGGUUCAAAUCAAAGUUCAUGGCUCUUUUCCGCUUGAAAUUACAGAGAAGUCAUAGAGUCUCUUUAGGACUAGCCUGAUGGUCUUGACCUUUUUUGAAUGUCAGGGUCUCCUUUGAGAGUGUGCUGAAACUUUUGAAUCCUCUUCUCAGAAGAAUGCACAUGAGCUUAAGAUUUUGCUUACAAAGUUAAGGAGUCCACAGACAUCCUGAAGUCCAUUCAUGGGUUCUCCAGAAGCCCUUUGGCUGGAGGUUGGACCAUAUAAAUUCAAACUCCAAAGGAUGACUUGUCUGCUUGGGCCGGCAAUUGGUGUGAUAAAUUGUAAGGUGGAGAACUGAGGCAAAAUGUUGCGUUUCAAUACUAGAGCUAAAGACUCUGGUAAGAGUUUUCUAGAUUGAGGAGAUAGAUAUUGGUCAGGUUUUGCCUGCUCUAUGAAUUUCCUGCUCAAAGUGAAGACAGGAGCCUUCACAUUUCAUAGUUUGUCCUUUUCUGGCCAUUUGGAAACCUGACUGUUUUGACUGUACAAACUUACAGCUGGGGCCUGAGCAGUGAGCAGAAUGGAAUGUCUAUCAGGACAGCCGUAGAUUUCCACAGCUUCCUGCUUUCGUCAGCUUCAGCUUAACAUCUAUUAUUGUGAAGAGUAGGGUAAGGAGGUCAUUUUCUUUGUCCAAACUUUUUGAUUCAAGGUGGUUUUUUCCAUGUGAAAAAUAAACGUGGGAGGAAAUAAUCCCAUUUAUCCAUUUUGGGGAAUAAUUUAUUUGAGAAGUCUGAACUCUGGGCCCAUUUUAUUGAAUCAGUAUGGCCCUGUGAAGUAUAUUAUGGUUUAAUUUUAGUCAUGGUGCUUAUGCUUUGUUUGUACCCUUGGUGCAAAUUUAGUGUUUUCUAAUUAAUUUGUUUUCUUCUUCUCUCUGCUAAUUAGGUCUUCCAAGUUUAUAAGAAGAAUCAGAUUUCCAAGAGCAAUUUACCCCUUUCUUCAUUCUGUUAGGCAUUAUUUGGAAUGGCUUUUCUUCGAUGAAUUCAAUUAACAGGCUGGAGUGCAGCGGCGUGAUCUCGGCUCACUACAACCUCCACCUCCCGGGUUCAAGCGAUUCUUCUGCUUCAGCCUUCUCCUGAGCAGCUGGGAUUACAAGUGCGCACCAUCAUGCCUGGCUAAUUUUUGUAUUUUUAAUAGAGACGGGGUUUCUCCAUGUUGGCCAGGCUCGUCUCAAACUCCUGACCUCAGGUGAUCUGCCCACCUCGGCCUCCCGAAGUGCUGGGAUUACAGGUGUGAGCCACUGCACCCAGCCUAAAGAGAAUAUUUUCUCAAUUAAAAAUACUAUAGUCUUCAGAAAAGAAUCAAUUAAAGUGAUGAGAAAUUUCAAAUAUAUUAACUACAAACUGCAACUUUGAAAAAUAUUGCAGGCAAUUUUAUUAAGUUCUACAGAGAAAUGUCAGUAACAUGGUAUUAGAAAUAAAUAUAGCUGAUAAACAGAUUAAAGUUUAUGAAUAUAUACCAAGAAUAAUUAUUCUGCUUAUGUAAUUUUAAUUUUGGAAAACCAUUUUGAAAAGUUUGUUACAUGAAAUGUUAUUUUUAAAAGAAUUUCAUAUUUGAAAAUAGUUUGAAUAUAUAAUUUUUAAGUAUUUUCAAUGCAAUUAGUCCAAUUUUCUGAUCAAUAAAUAUCUUUUAAAAGUAUGUAACUUUAUUGUUUUCAUUUCAAAAUGUUUCAGUUUGGAAAUUAUACAAUCAUCCUACAUAACCAGGCAACACAAAUCACAUAAAAAUACGUAUGCCCUCAGCGACACUGUGCUAUCUUCUAACUAGGUUUCCUUCUGUGUGUACUUAAGUGUGUGUGAUAUCAAAAAUUCACGUGAAUGGCUUUAUAUUUGACUUGAUGACCCAGAGUACUAUUGAGCAAGAAAUAGCAUUGCCCUGGGUAUGCUAUUUGAUCAGAAUCUACCUUGUCUGUCAUUCCUUCUUGCAUACUUGCUUUCUGUUUUUCUGAACUUCUCUGACUAUAAGGUUCUAUCUGUUUUCUUUUCUUGCUUGUACUUUGUCAGAAAACUAAUUUGCAGUCAUUCAUACUAGUAUUUACUGAGUGAGGUGAUUCUAACAUCAUGUAGAAACAGUUGAAUCAAAUCCUACCAUACCAUUGAUUAACUGGGUAAACUUUGGUAAAUCACUUAAUGUCUCUAAAUGCGAUGUUCUUAUUUGUGAGACAUGGAUGAUAAUAUCUGCCAUGUACAUUGUUGCAAGUAUUUUAAAAAUGAUAUUUGUAAGCAUUUAAAAAUAUUAUAUUUUAAAAUAUAAUAUAAUUA